rnacentral:rRNA from 1 species
GACGAACGCUGGCGGCGUGCUUAACACAUGCAAGUCGAACGGAAAGGCCCCUUUGGGGGUACUCGAGUGGCGAACGGGUGAGUAACACGUGAGUAACCUGCCCUUGACUUCGGGAUAACUUCAGGAAACUGGGGCUAAUACCGGAUAGGAAUCCUUGCUGCAUGGUGGGGGCUGGAAAGCUUCGGCGGUUUUGGAUGGACUCGCGGCUUAUCAGCUUGUUGGUGGGGUAGUGGCUUACCAAGGCUUUGACGGGUAGCCGGCCUGAGAGGGCGACCGGCCACAUUGGGACUGAGAUACGGCCCAGACUCCUACGGGAGGCAGCAGUGGGGAAUAUUGCACAAUGGGCGGAAGCCUGAUGCAGCAACGCCGCGUGCGGGAUGACGGCCUUCGGGUUGUAAACCGCUUUCAGCAGGGGCGAAGCUUGUGGUGACGGUACCUGCAGAAGAAGCACCGGCUAACUACGUG